AUGCUAUCUGUCUGCAUUUCUGACUCCCCCACCCGCUCCCAGCGCCGUGUUGGGCACCUGCUGCAGAGCCCAGGGGGACAGCACGUGGGGCUGGAGGGGACAGGAGCUCCUGGCAGCUCCACACCAGCACACAGAGCUUGGGGCUUCACUGCCAGCAAAGACAGCCCCGUGCCAAGCCUGGUCCCAGGUAACCACCCAAAAUCCUCUAAGGGAGUCUGCCAUGGGAGCCAGGAGAGCUCUGAGCAGCAGGUGAGUCUGCCCAGGGUCAGGGAUACAGCGCUGGCCAUGGGUGAGCUGCGCUCUGUGAUGAUGGGAUGUCACCACAGCCAGGUGACCUUUCCUGGCGCCCAGCUGCAUGGGUGCUCCCGCAUGCAGCGGCACGUGGCUGCAGAAGGAAACAGAGAGGCUCGGGGAAGGGAACUGGGGAGCAGCAGGGUCUGGGCACCCCCUGAGCAGUGCCGCACCCAUCGGCGCUCCCAGCAGCAGCAGAGCCAGCUCCAUCACCAGGAGAGUGCGGCUGCAGGGAAGUCCAGGCGGGCCCAUCUCCCUCCCCAGCGACUGUCUCUGCGCCGCCUCGUUAGCUGCUCUGCUACUCCCAUGAGCAUUCCAAAGAACAACAGUAGCAACCACAACAAAAAGCAUCACGCGAUCCUACCAAUUUUCUCAAACAAACGCUACCCAAGGCCAUCGUGUGCAGCUGAAAAGGCGGCUGAAUGCAGCACUGCGUCUCCACAAGGCCAGGGAGAACGCCAGGGACGGAGCUGGCUGCCACAAGACAGCAGCCACCGAGCUGCUGGCUUCCCAGGGGACACUCCUCCUGUCACCCCACCCUGCUGCCCUCAGCGAUUCCGGCUCCCCCAUCCACAAGCCCCCGCAGCAGAUGAACAUGAGGAUGAGCAGCUCGAAGCACCGGGAUGCCCCGCAGAUGUGGCCGAGCUCAGUGCGAUGGCUCCGGGGAAACUGAGGCAGGGGUUUGCUCACCAAGUCAGGGCCAAGUGGAUGGCGAGUCCCAGAGCAGAGCUGCCCACUUGUGCCCCCAGCUCAGUCCUUCUGUGUGCAAUCGGGGUGUCGGUGUCACCCUCGCUGCUCGCCACGGGAGCCGCGGCUGAGCCGCAGCCGAAAUUACCAUCAGGACUGGUCAGCCGGGAAAUCUUUGCAGCUUUAACAGACACAAGGAAAAGAAAGCACACCUCACUUCAGCCACAACCAGCCUGCCAUCCGGCGUCAAAGGGAAGAGGGGGAUAA
rnacentral:lncRNA from 1 species